rnacentral:rRNA from 1 species
AAUCAACGCUGGCGGCGUGCCUCACACAUGCAAGUCGAACGAUUAAACUUCCCUUCGGGGAUGAUAUAAAGUGGCGCACGGGUGAGUAACACGUAGGUAAUGUACCUUUGGGAGGGGAACAACUAAGGGAAACUUAAGCUAAUACCGCAUAAUGCAUCGGCUCUUUCGGGAGACAGUUGUUAAAGAUUUAUCGCCUAAAGAACAGCCUGCGGCAGAUUAGUUAGUUGGUAAGGUAAAGGCUUACCAAGGCUACGAACUGUAUCCGAGCUGAGAGGGUGGUCGGACACACUGACGAUGGAGAACGGGUCCGACUCCUACGGGAGGCAGGAAGCGGGGAUUUUGGGCAAUGGGCGGAAGCCUGGCCCAGCAGCGGCGCGGGAAGGAUGAAGUCUUUCGGGUUGUAAAAUUCGUAUGAAUAGGAAGAAUAUGUGAGGGUACUAUUAGUAAGGUCCGGCUAACUACGUG